GACGUAGGGCGCGAGCGUUGUCCGGAUUUAUUGGGCGUAAAGAGCUCGUAGGCGGCUUGUUGCGUCGACUGUGAAAACCCGCGGCUUAACUGCGGGCUUGCAGUUGAUACGGGCAGGCUAGAGUUCGGUAGGGGAGAUUGGAAUUCCUGGUGUAGCGGUGGAAUGCGCAGAUAUCAGGAGGAACACCGAUGGCGAAGGCAGAUCUCUGGGCCGUAACUGACGCUGAGGAGCGAAAGCGUGGGGAGCGAACAGG
rnacentral:rRNA from 1 species